CAGGCUUAACACAUGCAAGUCGAGGGGCAGCAUGGUCUUAGCUUGCUAAGGCCGAUGGCGACCGGCGCACGGGUGAGUAACGCGUAUCCAACCUGCCUUACACUCUUGGACAGCCUUCUGAAAGGGAGAUUAAUACAAGAUGUUAUCAUGAGUAAGCAUUUUCGCAUGAUUAAAGGUUUACCGGUGUAAGAUGGGGAUGCGUUCCAUUAGAUAGUAGGCGGGGUAACGGCCCACCUAGUCUUCGAUGGAUAGGGGUUCUGAGAGGAAGGUCCCCCACAUUGGAACUGAGACACGGUCCAAACUCCUACGGGAGGCAGCAGUGAGGAAUAUUGGUCAAUGGACGAGAGUCUGAACCAGCCAAGUAGCGUGAAGGAUGAAGGUUCUAUGGAUUGUAAACUUCUUUUAUACGGGAAUAAACGAAUCCACGUGUGGAUUUUUGCAUGUACCGUAUGAAUAAGGAUCGGCUAACUCCGUGCCAGCAGCCGCGGUAAUACGGAGGAUCCGAGCGUUAUCCGGAUUUAUUGGGUUUAAAGGGAGCGUAGAUGGGUUGUUAAGUCAGUUGUGAAAGUUUGCGGCUCAACCGUAAAAUUGCAAUUGAUACUGGCAGUCUUGAGUACAGUUGAGGUAGGCGGAAUUCGUGGUGUAGCGGUGAAAUGCUUAGAUAUCACGAAGAACUCCGAUUGCGAAGGCAGCUUACUAACCUGUAACUGACAUUGAUGCUCGAAAGUGUGGGUAUCAAACAGGAUUAGAUACCCUGGUAGUCCACACGGUAAACGAUGAAUACUCGCUGUAGGCGAUAUACAGUCUGCGGCCAAGCGAAAGCAUUAAGUAUUCCACCUGGGGAGUACGCCGGCAACGGUGAAACUCAAAGGAAUUGACGGGGGCCCGCACAAGCGGAGGAACAUGUGGUUUAAUUCGAUGAUACGCGAGGACCCUUACCCGGGCUUAAAUUGCAACCGAAUAUGGCGGAAACGCUAUAGCUAGCAAUAGCGGUUGUGAAGGUGCUGCAUGGUUGUCGUCAGCUCGUGCCGUGAGGUGUCGGCUUAAGUGCCAUAACGAGCGCAACCCUUGCCGAUAGUUACUAACAGGUCAUGCUGAGGACUCUGUCGGGACUGCCAUCGUAAGAUGUGAGGAAGGUGGGGAUGACGUCAAAUCAGCACGGCCCUUACGUCCGGGGCUACACACGUGUUACAAUGGGGGGUACAGAGGGCUGCUACCACGCAAGUGGAUGCCAAUCCCAAAAACCUCUCUCAGUUCGGAUUGAAGUCUGCAACCCGACUUCAUGAAGCUGGAUUCGCUAGUAAUCGCGCAUCAGCCAGAGCGCGGUGAAUACGUUCCCGGGCCUUGUACACCCCGCCCGUCAAGCCAUGGGAGCCGGGGGUACCUGAAGCUCGCAAGGGCAAGGAG
rnacentral:rRNA from 1 species